UGUAGACAUAGAGGAUCUCUUUGCAGUGCUUUCUUUGAUGAAGUGGUUGUGAACUGCCAUCCUGACCUGGUGGAUGAUGGGUUUGGCGAGAAAUCUGUACUAGGGCAUGAGAAUCUUCAAGAGGCUUUCCUUUGAGUCCUCCGUCACAGCUCCACCAUUGCUUACCGGAGAGCUGAAAGAUGGAAAGGACCAGACUGGGUUUAAGAUUUCAUCACUCGGGAUCAACACAAUCAGAGGAAUCAGCUCUAGAUUUGGAAAGGAACUACUGCAGUCAUCCUAAUUUACCUUUAUCAUGUCCAUCGCUGCCUUCAACACUCUGUGUCAGGUGCUCAGCAUUUCAAGAGCGGUGCUGCCCACUUCUCAUGGCCUACUUCAAGUCGAUUAAAUGAAGCGGCAGAAGAUAGGGCAAACUUCUUUGGAAACCUUCAAAAGGGGGUGCUGCCUGAAACUCUGGGGCGGUUGCCAACAGGGCAAGCAAUCUACCACCUUGCUUGAGCUGUUGACUAUUAGGGCAUUUCACAGCAAGAUCUUGUGCCGAGUUAGUCUUGGCACUGCAACUGGGUUUCGAAUUCGAAAGGGUGUGCUGACAGAUAUUCCUGCUUUUCUUGUCAUUGUUGCCCGUAAAGUUCACAGGCAAUGGCCCAACCACGUCCAGUAUCUACCUGCUGCCCUUGAGGGGCCAGGAGGUGUACGGUGUGCCAUACCAAUCCCCAUUUCUCUCUUCUACACACCUUUCAGGGCACUAUGUUCCUACCACCAUGAUCAUGACCCUGGCACCACUCCAGCACUCCCCACUUCUUCAUCACCAUCAUUAUCAGCACAAUCCAAUUCUCUUGUCAGAGUAGUCUGUUCAUUGGUCUGUGACUCUUUCUACCAACAACCCCAUGUGAAAACAUCGCCUCCCAAGCUCAAUCUUCAGCAGGAGGCUGAUUUGUUGACCCAAGAACAGGCCAUUACAGUCGUUGCUUCACUCGCUGCUGAGGCGGGGUCGAUGGUGGCGUUGAGUUUCUUUUACUGGGCAAUUGGGUUUGCCAAGUUUCGCCAUUUUAUGCGGCUUUAUAUAGUAUGCGCCACAUCAUUGAUUGGUAAUGGGAAUAUGGAGAGGGCUCAUGAAGUGAUGCAGUGUAUGGUAAGGAGUUUUGCUGAGAUUGGGAGGUUAAGGGAGGCUGUUGAUAUGGUUAUUGAGAUGCGAAACCAAGGUUUGGCACCAAGUACUUGCACGUUAAAUUGUGUGAUUGGCAUUGGGUGUGAAAUGGGUUUGGUUGAAUAUGUCGAGAACUUGUUCGAGGAAAUGUGUGUGAGAGGAGUGUCUCCUGAUCAUUGCAGUUAUAAGUUGAUGGUUAUUGGUUAUUGUAGGAUGGGUAUAAUUUUGGAGGCAGAUAGGUGGUUGAGUGAAAUGCUUAAGAGAGGCUUUGUUCUAGAUAAUGCAACUUUUACUUUAGUUAUCAGUGCAUUUUCUGAGAAGGGUUUUGUGAAUAGAGCUUGUUGGUAUUUUGAUAAGAUGAUUGAGAUGGGUUUGGCACCAAAUGUGAUUAAUUUCACGUCUUUGAUUCAUGGGUUGUGCAAGAGGGGCAGCAUUAAGCAAGCAUUUGAAAUGUUGGAGGAAAUGGUUAGGAAAGGUUGGAAACCUAAUGUGUAUACUCAUACAGCAUUGAUUGAUGGGCUCUGCAAGAAGGGAUGGACUGAGAAGGCUUUUAGACUGUUUCUGAAACUUGUCCGGAGUGACAAUCACAAGCCAAAUGUUCAUACAUAUACAGCCAUGAUUAGCGGGUAUUGCAAAGAGGGCAAGUUGAACCGUGCUGAGAUGUUGUUAACCAGAAUGAAAGAACAGGGAUUGGUCCCCAACACCAACACAUAUACUACUCUCAUUGAUGGGCACUGUAAAGUAGGGAAUUUCGGAAGAGCAUAUGAGUUGAUGAAAGUAAUGAAUGAUGAAGGUUUCACACCUAACAUCUGUACAUAUAAUGCAAUUUGUGAUGGCCUUUGCAAAAGGGGAAGGGUUCAUGAGGCUUAUAAAUUGCUUAAGAAGGGUUUUCGUUGUGGAUUGCAAGCAGAUAGGGUCACGUAUACUAUCCUCAUAUCUGAGCACUGUAAACGGGCAGAUACUAUGCAUGCCUUGGUGUUUUUCAAUAAGAUGAUCAAAGGUGGCAUUCAACCUGAUAUUCAUACAUAUACCACACUGAUUGCUGCCUUCUGUAGGCAAAAGAGAUUGAAAGAGAGUGAGAAGCUUUUUGAAGACGUUGUAAUGCUAGGCCUGGUUCCAACUAAGCGGACGUAUACAUCCAUGAUAUGUGGGUACUGUAGGGUUGAAAAUGUUAACUUGGCUGUAAAGUAUUUUCAUAGGAUGAAUGAUCAUGGCUGUACGCCGGACAGUAUUACAUAUGGUGCUCUUAUAAGUGGGCUUUGCAAAGGGUUUAAGUUGGAUGAGGCCCGCCGGUUAUAUGACACCAUGAUAGACAAGGGGCUAUCCCCAUGUGAAGUUACUCGGCUGACCUUGGCUUACGAGUAUUGCAAAAUAGAUGAUUCUGCUACUGCCAUGAUCAUAUUGGAAAGGCUAGACAAAAGGCUCUGGAUCCAGACAGUUAAGACCUUGGUCAGGAAGCUUUGUUGUGAGGGAAAAGUGGGCAUAGCAGCAUUGUUCUUUUAUAGAUUAUUAGAUAAGGACCGUAAUGUGGAUCGUGUGACUUUGGUAGCAUUCACGACUGCAUGCUACAAGACCAACAACUAUGCUCUUGUUUCUAACUUGUCCGAGAGGAUCUCUAAAGGAAUUUCUUAGCAGCUGUUGCUUAACCAUGAUGGGUGAAUUCAUUUGUGUUGAAAAGUUGAGCUGCUAAAACAAGUUUUGUAGUUUGAUUCCUCUUCCUACUGUUGAUAACUUGAAGGCUCAGGUGCCUAGCAGCAUGAUAAGCCAGUGAAUGUCAUUAUGUAUUUUGUAGAGUUCCAUUCCAUAUAACGCCUUCAGUCAUUUCUGAAUAACAACCAAAACGUGUCGUGACUGCAUUGAAUAAUUGAAGGGAUUGGCCACAGGUGUUUUCUUCUUUAGUAUACCCCUUGAUGAGUUCACGUUUGAACUCCAACUUUUCUCUGCAAAUGACUGGGAGAUCUUCAUUAAGGCAUUUGAUGCGUAUAUGGUUGGCCCAAAAGAAGAAUUUCCAUUGCCUAUCACAAAGAAUUCUAUAUGAGACUUUCGGCUACGAGCGCAUGUCUUUCAUGGAUGGUGACGGAACGGAAUAAAAUCUAAAGGUAAUUCUGCUGUUUUUCUUGAUGGAGACAAAGCUGCACCAGAUAAUACUGAACUGAAGAAAUGGAAUCAUUCCUGGCUGUGGGUUGUUUGAGGGAGUAGAUUGUAGAAACAUGGUCAGUUCAGUCCACUGAACUUCAUUAGUCCACUGAACUUGCAGCUAACUGUAUAUUGAUAGCAACAUGGAAGAAUGCCCACUGCUGAAUAACUUCACUGGCCAUACUUUUUGGUGAUUCUGAGAAGCUGCCCUGUUGCCUCUUCUCUUUGGACUACGUGGGAGAAAGGAUAUAUUUGUCAUUUCCUUCAGAACUUGUUUCGGAUUGUGUUCAGAAAUAUAGCUAGUCUAUAGAAAAAGCCUGAAAGAACUUUUUUAAAGAAGCCCCAUUUACAAGUUUCCCCCUAAACGCAUUUUUCAACCUUUUUAGAGCUAAAAAGAAGUGUUUUUUUUUUUCCUAGUGUUUUACCGAAUGAACCUAUUUUUAUCUGGCACAGCUUUUUAACUACUAAAAGUACAUUUUAAAUUUCUUUAACUCAAUCCCAAACACGAACUAAGCCAACUGUUGGCAUCGUUAUGACUGUUGCUGCAGCCAAUGGUUUUGAAGUAGAUCGCUUAAGCCAUUUGUGCUUCAUCCUCCUGCUGGUUGGCCACCUCUAUUGUGGUAGGCAGCCCUCUACUCAGAAUCUGUGUGGUUUGUUGAUAGAUUUUGCUGGGUAGGUGAAAUCAUUCAGGGCUGGCUUUUCUUGAAGUUAUUGGGAUUUAGCUAGCAAAGGAACAUCUUUUUAGCUGAAUCACUGAAGCAAGCAAUUGUUUGGCUUCCAUCUUUUUGUAAGACAAUUGUCAAAUGAAAUUCAAUAUCAUGCCUGAUUAUUGGCGUUGAACAA